rnacentral:rRNA from 1 species
AUGAACGCUGGCGGCGUGCCUAAUACAUGCAAGUCGAGCGAACGGACGAGAAGCUUGCUUCUCUGAUGUUAGCGGCGGACGGGUGAGUAACACGUGGAUAACCUACCUAUAAGACUGGGAUAACUUCGGGAAACCGGAGCUAAUACCGGAUAAUAUUUUGAACCGCAUGGUUCAAAAGUGAAAGACGGUCUUGCUGUCACUUAUAGAUGGAUCCGCGCUGCAUUAGCUAGUUGGUAAGGUAACGGCUUACGAAGGCAACGAUGCAUAGCCGACCUGAGAGGGUGAUCGGCCACACUGGAACUGAGACACGGUCCAGACUCCUACGGGAGGCAGCAGUAGGGAAUCUUCCGCAAUGGGCGAAAGCCUGACGGAGCAACGCCGCGUGAGUGAUGAAGGUCUUCGGAUCGUAAAACUCUGUUAUUAGGGAAGAACAUAUGUGUAAGUAACUGUGCACAUCUUGACGGUACCUAAUCAGAAAGCCACGGCUAACUACGUG